GUAUAUUACGUCACUUCCUCUUUGCGGCGUUUGAGAGUUUUGGAUUUGAUUUCCGACAGCUGGGUGAUCGGAUAGCCGAAACAGAGAUCCUAAAACUGUAUAUUUAACAGCUGAUCGCCACUGUCGCUACUAUUCCAUAAACCAUAUUCCAAAAACAUCAAUUCUUCUGUCAGUAACGGAUCUCCUCCUUCAACAGAGGCACCACGUUCAAAGGAUGACUGCAGUUACAACCGAAAGUAAAUGUUAUCAAGUCAAAGUUGUUGAUGGUUUCAUAAUAGCUGAAGCAGGAGAAAUAACAUCUUUGGAGAGCUCAUAGUGAAAGAGGAUGAAAUAUGCUCAACCUGUGAAGACUUUUGGAGCCUGAGUAUGACACAGUGGAUGGAAUCCUCCAUUGGGAAUGUUUGUCUAAUAGCUGUGAGGAAAGCUGCACAGACAUGUCAUUAGUCAUUCUGGUGCAUCUUUUCUCUGGUUAUAGACAUGAUGGUGUUAAUGUCUGUGUGUUUCUGUUUCCUUUAGGAGAAAAUGUCUACAUUGAUGACCUUUACUGCCUUUAUGACCACCUGGAAGGAUCUCCAAGUUGACCUACUGCACUCCUUGCUGUACCAGGAGAAUCUUUGACCCUGUCUGGAGAACUGGAAGAGACCUUCAGUUCUUUUCUAUGCAGAUGUCAGGCAGCUGCUGCUGGAUUUCAUGCUGAUUAAGCUCUCUGCAUCAGCACCUCGUCUGAAAUGACAUUCAGUGGAUCUGGCUGUGCAUGUGAACGUGCAGACACAUGAGAGGUGGAGGGGGACUGAUGUGCUCCUCCACUAAUCAUCAUCUCAGCUGUUCAGCAUUGAAGCUCUGCAGCUUCCAGUGUUCAUCGACAGAUCGUUGUCUACCUUUAGAAUCCUUCAACCACGAGUACCAACAACCAACCAUCUCUGGACCUCUCUGCUCAGCUGCCUCACAGCCACAGACUCGGUUCUACCUGCUCACCGUGUCCUCCAGCUCCAGAAGGACAAAGGAUGGAGUACUCCAGUUCUGAUGGAGAAGCGUGGAUCCAUUAACGUCUUUGAAUUCCUUGUCUGAGCUGGCAUCUGGCUCAAAACUGUACUGCAGCAUAACUCCAAUAUUGCUGCUGGCUUUUUUUUUUUUUUUUAUUACACCAAUGUUAGCUCGGGGUUGUAAACCAUAGCGGAGGAGGAUGUAAGCAAAGGAAUGCUGGGAUAUCAACGUAGGGUUACUUGCAUGCCAACAGUCCUGCUCACAACCCAGAGGUGAAUUUCAGAUGAACUCCUUAAAAUAUGUUUUUGUUUUGGGGUAAAACUGUACAAUCAUGAUUAAAAAAACACACACUGGGAACGACUUUUUAAUAUUCGUUUCCAGUUACACACAGUUACACACAAAAUGUUUUGUAUGAGUUACAAAUGAAGAAUUAUGAGCACACAAAUCGGAUGAGUCUACUUUCUCUGCAAAUAUUUUGUAUUAAUAAACAGUCAGGGUUAUGCAUAUCACAAAAACAGAAUCAUGCUUGUUUUUUCCUGCUCUAAAAAUGUGUAUAACCUCUUUUUUUCUUUUCUCCCUUUUAAAUAAAUGAAGUUUACUUUUUUUACCUCAGUUUUAGCUGUUUACACCAACAAAUCCAGCUGUGGGAAACCUGUUGUUUUCAAAGAAAAUCCAGCAGAUAUAUUUUUAAGUAUUGUGUUUUUUCUUUCAUAUCAACAAGUUGAAUAUCAAAUUUCUCACUAAAGUCUGAUCAAUAAAAACA